CAGAACCCAAGCGCCUGAGACAGGACCCCAGCGGCUCCACCAUGGACUUGGUGCCAAGCUGCGUUUUCCUCCUGAUCAUUUCUCAAGGUGUCCAGUGUGAGGUGCAGCUGGUGGAGUCUGGGGGAGGCCUGGUGCAGCCUGGGGGGUCUCUGAGACUCUCCUGUGCAGCCUCUGGAUUCACCUUUGAUGAUUAUGGCAUGAGCUGGGUCCGCCAGGCUCCAGGGAAGGGGCUGGAGUGGGUUUCUGCUAUUAGUUGGAAUGGUGGUAGCACAUACUACGCCAAAUCCGUGAAGGGCCGCUUCACCAUCUCCAGAGACAACGCCAAGAACUCGCUGUAUCUGCAAAUGAGCAGCCUGAGAGCCGAGGACACGGCCGUGUAUUACUGUGCAAGACAUGGUUACGCCUGGAACUGGAUCCGUCAGCCCCUGGGGAAGGGGCUGGAGUGGAUAGGGCGCAUAAGGUAUGAUGGAAACACUUACUACAGCCCCUCCCUCAAGAGUCGAACCUCCGUCUCCAGAGACACAUCCGAGAACCAGUUCUCCCUGCAGCUGAGUUCCGUGACCAUUGAGGACACAGCCCAUGACUGCACUCUCCAAGUGGUGGUGGCCUUCCCAGAGGAACAAGUGACCAAAGUCCCAGAUUCCUGUGUCCGUCUGUCCUCACCUAGUGCUGUGGGAGGAUGGACACAGGUGGCUGCUGUCCUCUGA